CCGACUAGGUGUAUGAUGAAAUGUCCUUAUGAGUUAUACUUGUUGAUUGGUAUUUAUUUUUCACAUUUAACUACUACAUUUAGAUGUAAGUUUGUUCAAUGACACAUACUCAUUUGCAACACAAAGCAAAGUCAUCGAGGUGAACAAGAAAAAAAACAUCACCUGGCAAAGUGACAAAGAUCACAAAUUUGGCAGUGAUGUCUACCCUAAAUACUUCCAGCAGGGAGGUCUCAUAUGAGGUGCCAAGCUUUGAGCGAGCAAGAAUAUCUCAUUGUUUGGAUGAGGACAGCUGCCUUGCCAUAGUUUAGAAAACUCUAUGGGAGAAUUGAGAGAGACCUCGCAGCCAAUGAACAAAUCUCAAUGACAAUAGAGAACAACUACAACACUUACAGUUUUGAAGGGGAGAAGAGGACCCUUGGAGAUCCAUCGUACUUAUCUUGGAACAAAAACCCAGAUGGACAUUAGUGAAACUUUAAGCUUAUGUUGCAUUCAAAAGUUGGUAAAGUUACAAAUUUAGUUGCUCUAAAUCAAAGUCUGCCAAUCAUGUGCAAACAAUUUUCUUUGAGAAUUCUGUAAUCUGUAACUUCAAUAGAGACCAAAGGAAAUACAA